rnacentral:rRNA from 1 species
GACAGCAGUCGCCACGGUAAUGCGUAGGUCCCGAGCGUUAUCCGGAGUGACUGGGCGUAAAGAAUUGCGUAGGCGGUCAAGUUAGCAAGCGAUGAAAACUAUCGGCUCAACCGAUAGCUUGUUGUUCGAACUGCUUGACUCGAGAAUAUCAGAGGUCGCUGGAAUUCCUAGUGUAGCAGUGAAAUGCGUAGAUAUUAGGAAGAACACCGAUGGCGUAGGCAGGCGACUGGGAUAUUUCUGACGCUAAGGCACGAAAGCGUGGGUAGCGAACCGGAUUAGAUACCCCAGUAGUCCCUGUCUCUUAUU